rnacentral:rRNA from 1 species
UUAAGCGACUAAGCGUACACGGUGGAUGCCCUGGCAGUCAGAGGCGAUGAAGGACGUGCUAAUCUGCGAAAAGCGUCGGUAAGGUGAUAUGAACCGUUAUAGCCGGCGAUGUCCGAAUGGGGAAACCCAGUGCAAUUCGUUGCACUAUCGUUAACUGAAUACAUAGGUUAACGAGGCGAACCGGGGGAACUGAAACAUCUAAGUACCCCGAGGAAAAGAAAUCAACCGAGAUUCCCCCAGUAGCGGCGAGCGAACGGGGAGCAGCCCAGAGUCUGAAUCAGCUUGUGUGUUAGUGGAACGGUCUGGAAAGUCCGACGGUACAGGGUGAUAGUCCCGUACACCAAAAUGCACAGGCUGUGAACUCGAAGAGUAGGGCGGGACACGUGGUAUCCUGUCUGAAUAUGGGGGGACCAUCCUCCAAGGCUAAAUACUCCUGACUGACCGAUAGUGAACCAGUACCGUGAGGGAAAGGCGAAAAGAACCCCGGCGAGGGGAGUGAAAAAGAACCUGAAACCGUGUACGUACAAGCAGUGGGAGCACCUUCGGGUGUGACUGCGUACCUUUUGUAUAAUGGGUCAGCGACUUAUAUUCUGUAGCAAGGUUAACCGUAUAGGGGAGCCGCAGGGAAACCGAGUCUUAACUGGGCGUUAAGUUGCAGGGUAUAGACCCGAAACCCGGUGAUCUAGCCAUGGGCAGGUUGAAGGUUGGGUAACACUAACUGGAGGACCGAACCGACUAAUGUUGAAAAAUUAGCGGAUGACUUGUGGCUGGGGGUGAAAGGCCAAUCAAACCGGGAGAUAGCUGGUUCUCCCCGAAAGCUAUUUAGGUAGCGCCUCGUGAAUUCAUCUUCGGGGGUAGAGCACUGUUUCGGCUAGGGGGUCAUCCCGACUUACCAACCCGAUGCAAACUACGAAUACCGAAGAAUGUUAUCACGGGAGACACACGGCGGGUGCUAACGUCCGUCGUGAAGAGGGAAACAACCCAGACCGCCAGCUAAGGUCCCAAAGUCAUGGUUAAGUGGGAAACGAUGUGGGAAGGCACAGACAGCCAGGAUGUUGGCUUAGAAGCAGCCAUCAUUUAAAGAAAGCGUAAUAGCUCACUGGUCGAGUCGGCCUGCGCGGAAGAUGUAACGGGGCUAAACCAUGCACCGAAGCUGCGGCAGCGACACUAUGUGUUGUUGGGUAGGGGAGCGUUCUGUAAGCCUGCGAAGGUGACCUGUGAGGGUUGCUGGAGGUAUCAGAAGUGCGAAUGCUGACAUAAGUAACGAUAAAGCGGGUGAAAAGCCCGCUCGCCGGAAGACCAAGGGUUCCUGUCCAACGUUAAUCGGGGCAGGGUGAGUCGACCCCUAAGGCGAGGCCGAAAGGCGUAGUCGAUGGGAAACAGGUUAAUAUUCCUGUACUUGGUGUUACUGCGAAGGGGGGACGGAGAAGGCUAUGUUAGCCGGGCGACGGUUGUCCCGGUUUAAGCAUGUAGGCUGGUUGUCCAGGCAAAUCCGGAUAAUCAAGGCUGAGGUGUGAUGACGAGGCACUACGGUGCUGAAGUAACAAAUGCCCUGCUUCCAGGAAAAGCCUCUAAGCAUCAGGUAACAUCAAAUCGUACCCCAAACCGACACAGGUGGUCAGGUAGAGAAUACCAAGGCGCUUGAGAGAACUCGGGUGAAGGAACUAGGCAAAAUGGUGCCGUAACUUCGGGAGAAGGCACGCUGGUGUGUAGGUGAAGUCCCUGCGGAUGGAGCUGAGACCAGUCGAAGAUACCAGCUGGCUGCAACUGUUUAUUAAAAACACAGCACUGUGCAAACACGAAAGUGGACGUAUACGGUGUGACGCCUGCCCGGUGCCGGAAGGUUAAUUGAUGGGGUUAUCCGUAAGGAGAAGCUCUUGAUCGAAGCCCCGGUAAACGGCGGCCGUAACUAUAACGGUCCUAAGGUAGCGAAAUUCCUUGUCGGGUAAGUUCCGACCUGCACGAAUGGCGUAAUGAUGGCCAGGCUGUCUCCACCCGAGACUCAGUGAAAUUGAACUCGCUGUGAAGAUGCAGUGUACCCGCGGCAAGACGGAAAGACCCCGUGAACCUUUACUAUAGCUUGACACUGAACAUUGAGCCUUGAUGUGUAGGAUAGGUGGGAGGCUUUGAAGCGUGGACGCCAGUCUGCGUGGAGCCAACCUUGAAAUACCACCCUUUAAUGUUUGAUGUUCUAACGUUGGCCCCUGACCGGGGUUGCGGACAGUGUCUGGUGGGUAGUUUGACUGGGGCGGUCUCCUCCCAAAGCGUAACGGAGGAGCACGAAGGUUAGCUAAUCCUGGUCGGACAUCAGGAGGUUAGUGCAAUGGCAUAAGCUAGCUUGACUGCGAGCGUGACGGCGCGAGCAGGUGCGAAAGCAGGUCAUAGUGAUCCGGUGGUUCUGAAUGGAAGGGCCAUCGCUCAACGGAUAAAAGGUACUCCGGGGAUAACAGGCUGAUACCGCCCAAGAGUUCAUAUCGACGGCGGUGUUUGGCACCUCGAUGUCGGCUCAUCACAUCCUGGGGCUGAAGUAGGUCCCAAGGGUAUGGCUGUUCGCCAUUUAAAGUGGUACGCGAGCUGGGUUUAGAACGUCGUGAGACAGUUCGGUCCCUAUCUGCCGUGGGCGCUGGAGAAUUGAGGGGGGCUGCUCCUAGUACGAGAGGACCGGAGUGGACGCAUCACUGGUGUUCGGGUUGUCAUGCCAAUGGCACUGCCCGGUAGCUAAAUGCGGAAGAGAUAAGUGCUGAAAGCAUCUAAGCACGAAACUUGCCCCGAGAUGAGUUCUCCCUGAGACUUUAAGUCUCCUGAAGGAACGUUGAAGACGACGACGUUGAUAGGCCGGGUGUGUAAGCGCAGCGAUGCGUUGAGCUAACCGGUACUAAUGAACCGUGAGGCUUAACCUU